UACGUAGGGUCCGAGCGUUUGUCCGGAAUUACUGGGCGUAAAGAGCUCGUAGGUGGUUUGUCACGUUGUUCGUGAAAACCCACAGCUCAACUGUGGGCGUGCGAGCGAUACGGGCAGACUAGAGUACUGCAGGGGAGACUGGAAUUCCUGGUGUAGCGGUGGAAUGCGCAGAUAUCAGGAGGAACACCGGUGGCGAAGGCGGGUCUCUGGGCAGUAACUGACGCUGAGGAGCGAAAGCGUGGGGAGCGAACAGG
rnacentral:rRNA from 1 species